rnacentral:rRNA from 1 species
UGGGGAAUAUUGGACAAUGGGCGAAAGCCUGAUCCAGCAAUGCCGCGUGAGUGAUGAAGGCCUUAGGGUUGUAAAGCUCUUUUACCCGGGAUGAUAAUGACAGUACCGGGAGAAUAAGCUCCGGCUAACUCCGUGCCAGCAGCCGCGGUAAUACGGAGGGAGCUAGCGUUGUUCGGAAUUACUGGGCGUAAAGCGCACGUAGGCGGCUACUCAAGUCAGAGGUGAAAGCCCAGGGCUCAACCCUGGAACUGCCUUUGAAACUAGGUAGCUAGAAUCUUGGAGAGGUCAGUGGAAUUCCGAGUGUAGAGGUGAAAUUCGUAGAUAUUCGGAAGAACACCAGUGGCGAAGGCGACUGACUGGACAAGUAUUGACGCUGAGGUGCGAAAGCGUGGGGAGCAAACAGG